ACGCUGGCGGUGCGCCUUAUGCAUGCAAGUCGAGCGAAGCUUUUCAGUAGUUUACUACAGAGAAUGACUGAGCGGCGAACGGGUGAGUAACGCGUGAGCAACCUACCUUAGUUACUGGGAUAGCCCGAGGAAACUCGGAUUAAUACCGGAUAUUCUUAUUUAAUCACAUGAUUUUUUAAGGAAAGGUCAGCCGAACUAAGAUGGGCUCGCGUUCUAUCAGCUAGUUGGUAGGGUAAUGGCCUACCAAGGCUACGACGGAUAGCUGGUCUGAGAGGACGAUCAGCCACACUGGGACUGAGACACGGCCCAGACUCCUACGGGAGGCUGCAGCAGGGAAUAUUGCGCAAUGAGCGAAAGCUUGACGCAGCGACACCGCGUGUGGGAUGACGGAUCUAGGUUUGUAAACCACUUUCAGGAGGGAAGAAAAUGACGGUACCUCCACAAGAAGCCCCGGCCAACUACGUGCCAGCAGCCGCGGUAAUACGUAGGGGGCGAGCGUUGUCCGGAUUUAUUGGGCGUAAAGAGCUCGUAGGCGGUUCAACAAGUCGGUCGUGAAAGUUCAGGGCUCAACCCUGAAAUGUCGAUCGAUACUGUUGUGACUAGGAUACGGUAGAGGUGAGUGGAAUUCCGAGUGUAGCGGUGAAAUGCGUAGAUAUUCGGAGGAACACCAAUUGCGAAGGCAGCUCACUGGGCCGCUAUAGACGCUGAGGAGCGAAAGCUAGGGGAGCAAACAGGAUUAGAUACCCUGGUAGUCCUAGCUGUAAACGAUGGAUACUAGACGUAGGAAUUGGAUUAACGAUUUCUGUGUCGUAGCUAACGCGUUAAGUAUCCCGCCUGGGGAGUACGGUCGC
rnacentral:rRNA from 1 species